rnacentral:rRNA from 1 species
CGGGUGAGUAACGCGUGGGGAACCUGCCUCAAAGAGGGGGACAACAGUUGGAAACGACUGCUAAUACCGCAUAAGCCCACGGCUCGGCAUCGAGCAGAGGGAACAGGAGCAAUCCGCUUUGAGAUGGCCUCGCGUCCGAUUAGCUAGUUGGUGAGGUAACGGCCCACCAAGGCGACGAUCGGUAGCCGGACUGAGAGGUUGAACGGCCACAUUGGGACUGAGAUACGGCCCAG